GCAGGUUUCAACUCCACUUUGAGGCAGGGUAACAUUACACACCACGAGUACAUUCAGGUUGGAAAAGGAAGGGAUGUUGGGUUAAACCAAAUAGCCCUGUUUGAAGGGAAAGUAGCUGGUGGGAAUGGAGAGCAAGUUCUCAGCAGGGAUGUUUACAGGCUUGGGCAACUUUUUGAUUUCUUCAGAAUGCUUUCGUUUUAUUUCACAACUGUUGGUUACUAUGCAUGUACAAUGAUGACAGUUCUUGUGGUUUACAUUUUCUUGUAUGGACGGGUUUACUUGGCCUUUGCUGGACUUGACGAAGCAAUCUCAAGAAGAGCAAAAAUGUUGGGAAACACAGCAUUGGAUACUGCACUGAAUGCUCAGUUUUUGUUUCAGAUUGGAGUUUUUACAGC
rnacentral:misc_RNA from 1 species